CUCAACAGAGGCCUCAAUUUCAUCCCCACGAAAGGCAGAAACAAAAACAUCUGUCAUGAUCCUCAUCAUGGCAGCCCUCCCCUCUCCCUCUUUGUGUGUGUGUUUUGUCAUUUCCCUGUCUGUUACUCCUCCUCCUGUGUCUCUUCCCCUUGUUUGUUUCUUGUGGGUGAAUGUGGGCGGGGUUUUCAAUCAACAGGCAGCACUAGGUGAAGCCAUUCACUAAUCAACCCUCUACUAUAAAGCCUCUGGAUUUCCUCCUACUCAUCACCAGAUUGUACUUCAGUUUUCAGUGAGAUUGCCGUGCAUGCUUCCCGCUCUCGUGCUGAUCGCUUCCCUGUCUGCUGCUGAACCUGCCUGCCUUUGCCUGAGCUCCAGUUACCCUCUGUGUGAGUACGCCGGAGAGAGGGACUGCUCUGCUCUGUACUCACGGCACCAUUACCACAGAGUGAACUCCAAAUAAAAGACUUGUAUUUUCACAA